rnacentral:rRNA from 1 species
GAGCGUUGUCCGGAAUCAUUGUGCGUAAAGGGCGCGUAGGUGGCCCGGUCAGUUCGUGGUGAAAGCGCGGGGCUCAACACUGCGUCGGCCAUGAAUACUGCCGCGGCUGGAGCACUGUAGAGGCAGGCGGAAUUCCGGGUGUAGCGGUGGAAUGCGUAGAGAUCCGGAAGAACACCGGUGGCGAAGGCGGCCUGCUGGGCAGUUGCUGACACUGAGGCGCGACAGCGUGGGGAGCAAACAGG